CAGUAGCCGCGGGAAUACGAAGGGGGCUAGCGUUGUUCGGAAUUACUGGGCGUAAAGCGCACGUAGGCGGAUAUUUAAGUCAGGGGUGAAAUCCCAGAGCUCAACUCUGGAACUGCCUUUGAUACUGGGUAUCUUGAGUAUGGAAGAGGUGAGUGGAAUUCCGAGUGUAGAGGUGAAAUUCGUAGAUAUUCGGAGGAACACCAGUGGCGAAGGCGGCUUACUGGCUCGAUACUGACGCUGAGGUGCGAAAGCGUGGGGAGCAAACAGGAUUAGAUACCCGAGUAGUCCCUGUCUCUUAUAC
rnacentral:rRNA from 1 species